rnacentral:lncRNA from 1 species
UUGAUGGCGAUUGGAUCAAGAGUUGGUCAAGGAUCGAAUCAAGGAGGCUUGGAACCAAUUCAAGAGUUGAAGACCAGUUGAUCGAUUGACGUGCAUGUGCUUGUAAUACGACCUAACUAGAAUCCAUGAUCAUCACCUAUUUAAAGUUUAGCUUUAAUUUGAUGCUGCGAUUAUAACUGCCUGUGAUAUGCCGUUUGCAUGUGAUGUGAAUGCGAGUCGGGUAGAUAGGUUUACAUGUGAUGUAGCAAACCCAAUUGAGACCUAAAUCAAAACCUCCUCAAUCAAGUCGAGAGUCAACCGACAUGAGCAAGUCAUAUUAGAUUAAUUGAUCUAAUUGGUGUCUAGGAAAGCAUGAAAGGUGGUUACUUAAUUAGGACCUUACUCUCUGAGUAAGGGGAGCCUCCCACCUGCUUACCUGGCCAAUUAUUCGAUUACCUCUUAUGAAGGGCUCAAGUUGACAAACACUA